AACAAACGCUGGCGGCGUGUCUUAAGCAUGCAGGUUGAGCGGCAAGGAGGAGAGAUCCUCCCUAGAGCGGCGGACUGGUGAGUAACGCGUGGGUAAUCUAUCGUAGGCAUGGGGAUAGUCACUAGAAAUAGUAGGUAAUACCGAAUACGUUCCAUGAGGGGAGUAUUCAUGGAAGAAAGGGUGCUACGGCACUGGCCUUAGGUGAGCUCGCGUCCCAUUAGCUAGUUGGUGAGGUAAAGGCCCACCAAGGCGAUGAUGGGUAGCCGGCCUGAGAGGGUGUACGGCCACACUGGGACUGAGAUACGGCCCAGACUCCUACGGGAGGCAGCAGCUAAGAAUAUUCCGCAAUGGACGAAAGUCUGACGGAGCGACGCCGCGUGGAUGAAGAAGGCCGAAAGGUUGUAAAGUUCUUUUGCUAGGGGAGAAUAAGUGAGGGAGGGAAUGCCCUCAUGAUGACAAGGACUAGCGAAUAAGCCCCGGCCAACUACGUGCCAGC
rnacentral:rRNA from 1 species